rnacentral:rRNA from 1 species
AAUAGAUACCCGGGUAGUCCACGCCGUAAACGAUGAGUGCUAGGUGUUGGAGGGAAACCUUCGGUGCCGCAGCUAACGCAUUAAGCACUCCGCCUGGGGAGUACGUACGCAAGUAUGAAACUCAAAGGAAUUGACGGGGACCCGCACAAGCAGCGGAGCAUGUGGUUUAAUUCGAAGCAACGCGAAGAACCUUACCAGGGCUUGACAUGCCCCUGCCCGCUCUAGAGAUAGGGCUUUACCCUUCGGGGUACAGGGGACACAGGUGGUGCAUGGUUGUCGUCAGCUCGUGUCGUGAGAUGUUGGGUUAAGUCCCGCAACGAGCGCAACCCUUGCCUUUAGUUGCCAUCAUUAAGUUGGGCACUCUAGAGGGACUGCCGAUGAGAAAUCGGAGGAAGGUGGGGAUGACGUCAAAUCAUCAUGCCCUUUAUGUCCUGGGCUACACACGUGCUACAAUGGUCGGUACAACGAGCAGCAACACAGUGAUGUGAAGCAAAUCUCUAAAAGCCGAUCCCAGUUCGGAUUGCAGG